rfam:Beta vulgaris subsp. vulgaris chromosome 6, whole genome shotgun sequence.
GAGCUUAGGGGGGAGGGGGGGGGAUGAUUGGAGAGUGGUGGCAGGGGUGUAUAGGACAGUCCUCAUGUGACCACGAGUCCACCACAUUCUGGUUUUAAGAAACGGGAAAGCAAAGGUUGAGACUUUGAGACUGUUGGACAGCCCAUCCAUUUUUCUUUCCGCAACGCCUCUUAUGGAAAAUUAAGCUACUUUUUAGUAUAUGAUCUGUAGCCAAAAGCAUCACUAGCUUACAUUUUGAGUAGCACGGGGUAAAUGGAAUCCCGUGUGAAUCAGCGAGGACCACCUUGCAAGGCUAGAUACUCCUGGGUGAUUGAUAGCAAAGUAGCACGUUGAUGGAGGGUGAAAAGAACCCCCAUCGUGGAGUGAAGUAGAAUAUGAAACCGUAAGCUC